CCAACUCUUCGGAGCCUCAGUUUAUUAUCAUCUGUAAAAUGGGGAUAACACCAACAGUCUUAGAGGGUUGUUGCAAUGACUAUGUGAAAAACAAACAAAUUAAUACAUGAAAUACCCGCACAUAUUCGUAAAGAUGGGCACACAAGGGGAAAAGCUGGAAACCAGCUAAAAGGGCCACUAAAGAGGGACCGUGAUGGAUCAGCACAGUGGACAUUGCAGAAUUGAACGAGGCAGGUCACGAUUCACCAGCAUGGAGAGAUUUUUAAAAUACAAUGGUACUUCUCGGGGCCUGAUAGCGCACUGAAUUGAAACUUGCAGCUGAAACAUUGCCAGAAAAAAGAAACACGGGUGCAAGCUCUGAGCCCCAGUCUUCCCGAAGUCACCCUCCCAGGCGAUGCCUUUGUGUCCAUUCACAGCUCAGAAGGUGUGCUGUAGGAGGAGAGGAGGAGAAGGUCAUGGGUGGGGAAAGAGCUGGGUGGAAAUUGCUUGAAACAAAAAUCCCCAGGGAUUGACGUCGGCAAGCCAUUCCCCAAUCUGGACAGCAGGUGGCGGAAGUGACCGAGAUUUCUUUGACCAUCACCAAAGGGUCCAGAAUCCCCUGGUUCUGCUGUAGAAUGUGCUCCUUCUCCAAGGGCACAGACUAGAGGGCUCCUUCACCGUCUCAAGCAGGUCCACAUGCUCUUCCCAGAGAAAGGCUGCAACGUGCUUUGAGAGAAGAGAACCGGGUCAGCCACCUCCUCCCAGAAAAGGGCGAGAUGAGGACAUUCUUUCUCCCCAAACACCAGCAGUGUUCCGGGCUGGCUUGUGAAGCAGGAGCUAUCAGAUGAGGCAUAAAGAGACGCUAUCAGCAGGACCCGGGCAGCCAGAGCCCAAGCCUGGCUCUCCCCCAGGGCUGGGGCUCCCAUGGCAUUCUUCUGCGAGACAUUCCUAACUCCUUUGUUAAAAGGAGUUAAAAGAAGAUGGAGACAUCCUCCUGGAUUUCUUCAACUUCCAAAUAUGUCUCCCAUUAAGUUCACAAGGAGAAAGGCGACUGUCUAGAUAAUAUCCUCUUGGCGCCCUCUAGAAGGCCACUUGUUUCUUAUGAUCAAUUUGUCCUCACAGCCAGGUUCAUUUUCUGGCUCCUGAAGGCCAGGGCGAUCAUCUCAAACUGCCCUACUUCUGGGUUGAGGUGACACGUCCGUGUUUUGGUCCCCAAUCCUAUCAGGCCUUUCUCUGUGGCCUCCCACCCCCACCCCAGAUGGGCUCUGAGCAGAGGAUGCUCCUUUGAGUCUGGGAGUUCAGGAUAAAGUGCUCCCUCCCUCCCAGGGUCUGCCCUGGGGCUCAGCUGCCACCAGGACCCAGAAUCUCCCUCUUCUUGUGCCAAAAUUCUGAAGCAAGCCAUG
rnacentral:lncRNA from 1 species